rnacentral:tRNA from 1 species
GCCCGGAAAUAUAGGGCAUGACGUCGGAUUGAAAAUCCGCGUGUCACUGGUUCGAUUCCGGUCCCGGGCA